rnacentral:rRNA from 1 species
UACGGGGGAGCAAGCGUUACUCGGAAUUAUUGGGCGUAAAGGGCGCGUAGGCGAUUGUACAAGUCUUGUGUGAAAGCCCAUGGCUUAACUGUGGAAGUGCAUGAGAGACUGUAUGAUUUGAGUACAGGAGAGGAAAGCAGAAUUCCCGGUGUAGCGGUGAAAUGCGUAGAUAUCGGGAGGAAUACCAGUCGGCGAAGGCGGCUUCUGGACUGUAACUGACACUGAGGCAUGAAAGCGUGGGU